AACCAUUAUCAGGGAUGCACUACCAAAAUCUGGAAAGGCAAACCUGGGCGAAGAAUUGUAUAAGAUCUUGGCUGCAGAUUCAAAAACAACUGAAGUAAAGCUCAGUUCUCUUAAUUUAAAAUCCGAACACGCUGCACUUGAGACCAUCAACAAAUUGGAAGCUGCCAUAUUUGCGUGGAAAGAGAAGGUUGCAGCACAAGUUAGUAGUAAAUUCCCUGUUCGAACAUCAUGGUCCUUCAUGUCAGAGUUUGACAAGAUAGAGUCACUUUUAGACAGAGCAGAAACCCUUCUGCGGCAAGUCAAGGCUCGAAGAUUUCUUGAAGCUAAAAAAAUCCAAUAUGGAAGGGAUGUUGGCCAUUCAACUCUGGAGGCAUACUCUCGAGUUCUUGGGAAUUUGGCUCUCAACAUAUUGAGUAGGAUAUGGGACAUUUUGCAGGAAGAAGCUUCAAGCAAUCAAAAUUCUCCUGCAACAAUGUGUUGCUUCCCAGGAAUAAAAAUAUCACGAAUUCUGGAUUCUCCAGUUCAUUUCCUUCACACACGACACACAUUUCUCUGUCAUAUGAAUAAGGUAGAUGGGAAGUACCGUGAAUCUGAUGCUAGUUAUUAUUCUGAUAAAGGAUUCUCUUACAGUGAAGCCAA
rnacentral:misc_RNA from 1 species